UACUGGAUUGCCUCCCCGCAACUGGGGUU
rnacentral:sRNA from 1 species